rnacentral:lncRNA from 1 species
GGCAGGAUAAUUUUAGCUCUGCGUGUCUUAGCAGGGCUCCAUCUCUCCUGCCACCAAGCUGGCUCCAGACAGAGGCCAGUUGGGUCCUUCGGCAGCGAGGCCCUCCGAUCCUGGUGAAAACACCCAUUUAUGGGGCUGGCCCCGUGGCCGAGUGGUUAAGUUCGCGCGCUCCGCUGCAGGCGGCCCAGUGUUUCGUUGGUUCGAAUCCUGGGCGCGGACACAGCACUGCUCAUCAGACCACGCUGAGGCAGCGUCCCACAUGCCACAACUAGAAGAAUCCACAACGAAGAAUACACAACUAUGUACCAGGGGGCGUUGGGGAGAAAAAGGAAA